GGAAGGAUGGGUGAGUGGCUUAAACCACCAGUUUGCUAAACUGACGUACGGGCAACCGUACCGGGGGUUCGAAUCCCCCUCCUUCCG
rnacentral:tRNA from 1 species